rnacentral:rRNA from 1 species
UACGAAGGGGGCUAGCGUUGCUCGGAAUUACUGGGCGUAAAGGGCGCGUAGGCGGACAGUUUAGUCAGAGGUAAAAGCCCAGGGCUCAACCUUGGAACUGCCUUUGAUACUGGCUGUCUUGAGUUCGGGAGAGGUGAGUGGAAUGCCGAGUGUAGAGGUGAAAUUCGUAGAUAUUCGGCGGAACAUCAGUGGCGAAGGCGGCCUGCUGGGCUGUUGCUGACGCUGAGGCGCGACAGCGUGGGGAGCAAACAGG